GUCGAGCGAACAGACGAGGAGCUUGCUCCUCUGACGUUAGCGGCGGACGGGUGAGUAACACGUGGAUAACCUACCUAUAAGACUGGGAUAACUUCGGGAAACCGGAGCUAAUACCGGAUAAUAUAUUGAACCGCAUGGUUCAAUAGUGAAAGACGGUUUUGCUGUCACUUAUAGAUGGAUCCGCGCCGCAUUAGCUAGUUGGUAAGGUAACAGCUUACCAAGGCAACGAUGCGUAGCCGACCUGAGAGGGUGAUCGGCCACACUGGAACUGAGACACGGUCCAGACUCCUACGGGAGGCAGCAGUAGGGAAUCUUCCGCAAUGGGCGAAAGCCUGACGGAGCAACGCCGCGUGAGUGAUGAAGGUCUUCGGAUCGUAAAACUCUGUUAUUAGGGAAGAACAAAUGUGUAAGUAACUAUGCACGUCUUGACGGUACCUAAUCAGAAAGCCACGGCUAACUACGUGCCAGCAGCCGCGGUAAUACGUAGGUGGCAAGCGUUAUCCGGAAUUAUUGGGCGUAAAGCGCGCGUAGGCGGUUUUUUAAGUCUGAUGUGAAAGCCCACGGCUCAACCGUGGAGGGUCAUUGGAAACUGGAAAACUUGAGUGCAGAAGAGGAAAGUGGAAUUCCAUGUGUAGCGGUGA
rnacentral:rRNA from 1 species